rnacentral:rRNA from 1 species
GGGGUAACAAGUGAACCCGGGUUACCACCGGGAUGUUCAUAACCCUUUGUUGUCCGACUCUGUUGCCUCCGGGGCGACCCUGCCUUCGGGCGGGGGCUCCGGGUGGACACUUCAAACUCUUGCGUAACUUUGCAGUCUGAGUAAACUUAAUUAAUAAAUUAAAACUUUUAACAACGGAUCUCUUGGUUCUGGCAUCGAUGAAGAACGCAGCGAAAUGCGAUAAGUAAUGUGAAUUGCAGAAUUCAGUGAAUCAUCGAAUCUUUGAACGCACAUUGCGCCCCCUGGUAUUCCGGGGGGCAUGCCUGUUCGAGCGUCAUUUCACCACUCAAGCCUCGCUUGGUAUUGGGCAACGCGGUCCGCCGCGUGCCUCAAAUCGACCGGCUGGGUCUUCUGUCCCCUAAGCGUUGUGGAAACUAUUCGCUAAAGGGUGCUCGGGAGGCUACGCCGUAAAACAACCCCAUUUCUAAGGUUGACCUCGGAUCAGGUAGGGAUACCCGCUGAACUUAAGCAUAUCAAAAGCCGAGGGAAUCAUUACAAGUGACCCCGGUUUA